rnacentral:tRNA from 1 species
GAGGGUAUAGCUCAGUGGUAGAGCAUGUGCUUAGCAUGCAUAAGGUCCUGGAUUCAAUCCCCAAUACCUCCA